UACGUAGGGACCAAGCGUUGUUCGGAUUUACUGGGCGUAAAGGGCGCGUAGGCGGUCAGCACAAGUCAGUUGUGAAAUCUCCGGGCUUAACUCGGAAAGGUCAACUGAUACUGUGCGGCUAGAGUGCAGAAGGGGCAACUGGAAUUCUUGGUGUAGCGGUGAAAUGCGUAGAUAUCAAGAGGAACACCUGCGGCGAAGGCGGGUUGCUGGGCUGACACUGACGCUGAGGCGCGAAAGCUAGGGGAGCGAACGGG
rnacentral:rRNA from 1 species